rnacentral:SRP_RNA from 1 species
UGGGGACCUAGGCCGGGGGGCUAGCCCUCCCCUGUGACCGCAAACGGGCUAUAUGGCGGGGCCGAAGCUGCGUCCCAGGCCCCGCGGAUGAGGAAGGCCCUACCUACCAUCGAAGAUCACUGGGGCCACGACCUGCGUUGCAUGGCGAACCGGGUCAGGCCCGGAAGGGAGCAGCCCUAAGCUGUGCAGCGCAGCGCUCGUGGUGACCUAGUGGGAGAAACGGGGGUGGGAUAACCUUCCUCGGCCGCGUGGUCGAGGACGUGGCGUGGUCCCCA